rnacentral:rRNA from 1 species
AUACGGAGGGUGCAAGCGUUACUCGGAAUCACUGGGCGUAAAGCGCGCGCAGGCGGCUAUUUAAGUUGGAUGUGAAAGCCUAUGGCUCAACCGUAGAACUGCAUCCAAAACUAUUUAGCUAGAGUGUGGGAGAGGAAGAUGGAAUUAGUUGUGUAGGGGUAAAAUCCGUAGAGAUAACUAGGAAUACCAAAAGCGAAGGCAAUCUUCUGGAACACUACUGACGCUGAGGCGCGAAAGCGUGGGGAGCAAACAGGAUUAGAAACCCUAGUAGUCC